rnacentral:rRNA from 1 species
GACAGAGGGUGCAAACGUUGUUCGGAAUUACUGGGCGUAAAGCGCGUGUAGGCGGCUCUGUAAGUCGGGUGUGAAAUCCCACGGCUCAACCGUGGAAGUGCACUCGAAACUACAGGGCUAGAGUCCUGGAGAGGAAGGUGGAAUGCUUGGUGUAGAGGUGAAAUUCGUAGAUAUCAAGCGGAACACCGGUGGCGAAGGCGGCCUUACUGGACAGUGACUGACGCUGAGACGCGAAAGCGUGGGGAGCAAACAGG